GACGAACGCUGGCGGCGUGCCUAAUACAUGCAAGUCGAGCGAAGUUUUUCUGGUGCUUGCACUAGAAAAACUUAGCGGCGAACGGGUGAGUAACACGUAAAGAACCUGCCUCAUAGACUGGGACAACUAUUGGAAACGAUAGCUAAUACCGGAUAACAGUAUUUCUCGCAUGAGAGAUAUUUAAAAGUUGGUUAUGCUAACACUAUGAGAUGGCUUUGCGGUGCAUUAGCUAGUUGGUGGGGUAAAGGCCCACCAAGGCGACGAUGCAUAGCCGACCUGAGAGGGUGAUCGGCCACACUGGGACUGAGACACGGCCCAGACUCCUACGGGAGGCAGCAGUAGGGAAUCUUCCGCAAUGGGCGAAAGCCUGACGGAGCAACGCCGCGUGAGUGAAGGAGGAUUUCGGUUCGUAAAGCUCUGUUGUUAGGGAAGAAUGGAUAUGUAGUAACUAUACAUGUAAGAGACGGUACCUAACCAGAAAGCCACGGCUAACUACGUG
rnacentral:rRNA from 1 species